rnacentral:ncRNA from 2 species
AUAUGAACCAGAGGCCGCGAAAACCAAGAGUAGGAAACGAAAGGGGAAUUCGCCGAAGUAUCGAAUGUGAUACUGGGAUUAUACUGAAUAAGUAUAAUACUGUCAGAAUAAAAUGCCCAAUUUUAUUCAUUGAUGAGCUGUUCAUGUU